GUGGGGAAUAUUGGACAAUGGGGGGAACCCUGAUCCAGCCAUGCCGCGUGUGUGAAGAAGGCCUUUUGGUUAUAAAGCACUUUAAGCGAGGAGGAGGCUACCGAGAUUAAUACUCUUGGAUAGUGGACGUUACUCGCAGAAUAAGCACCGGCUAACUCUGUGCCAGCAGCCGCGGUAAUACAGAGGGUGCAAGCGUUAAUCGGAUUUACUGGGCGUAAAGCGCGCGUAGGUGGCCAAUUAAGUCAAAUGUGAAAUCCCCGAGCUUAACUUGGGAAGUGCAUUCGAUACUGGUUGGCUAGAGUAUGGGAGAGGAUGGUAGAAUUCCAGGUGUAGCGGUGAAAUGCGUAGAGAUCUGGAGGAAUACCGAUGGCGAAGGCAGCCAUCUGGCCUAAUACUGACACUGAGGUGCGAAAGCAUGGGGAGCAAACAGGAUUAGAAACCCUUGUAGUCC
rnacentral:rRNA from 1 species